ACGCUCGACACCUACGUGAGGCAGCAGUGGGGAAUAUUGGGCAAUGGAGGCAACUCUGACCCAGCAACGCCGCGUGAAUGAUGAAGGUCUUCGGAUUGUAAAGUUCUGUGACGGGGGACGAACACAAUGACGGUACCCCGAUAGCAAGCCACGGCUAACUACGUGCUAGCAGCCGCGGUAAUCUGAGGCGGGCUGGCAAGGC
rnacentral:rRNA from 1 species